UACGGAGGGUGCAAGCGUUAUCCGGAUUCACUGGGUUUAAAGGGUGUGUAGGCGGGUAUUUAAGUCAGUGGUGAAAUCUCCGGGCUCAACCCGGAAACUGCCAUUGAUACUAUUUAUCUUGAAUUCUGUUGAGGUAGGCGGAAUAUGUCAUGUAGCGGUGAAAUGCUUAGAUAUGACAUAGAACACCAAUUGCGAAGGCAGCUGGCUACACAAUUAUUGACACUGAGGCUCGAAAGCGUGGGGAUCAAACAGG
rnacentral:rRNA from 1 species